ACUGAGGGUAGCGGAGAAAUUCCAAUCGAACCUGGAGAUAGCUGGUUCUCUCCGAAAUAGCUUUAGGGCUAGCCUCAAGUGAUGAUUAUUGGAGGUAGAGCACUGUUUGGACGAGGGGCCCUUCUCGGGUUACCGAAUUCAGACAAACUCCGAAUGCCAAUCAAUUUAACUUGGGAGUCAGAACAUGGGUGAUAAGGUCCGUGUUCGAAAGGGAAACAGCCCAGACCACCAGCUAAGGUCCCAAAAUAUAUGUUAAGUGGAAAAGGAUGUGGCGUUGCCCAGACAACUAGGAUGUUGGCUUAGAAGCAGCCAUCAUUUAAAGAGUGCGUAAUAGCUCACUAGUCGAGUGACACUGCGCCGAAAAUGUACCGGGGCUAAACAUAUUACCGAAGCUGUGGAUUGUCCGUAGGACAAUGGUAGGAG
rnacentral:rRNA from 1 species